rnacentral:rRNA from 1 species
CAGCCGCCGCGGGAACACGAAGGGGGCUAGCGUUGUUCGGAUUUACUGGGCGUAAAGCGCACGUAGGCGGAUCGAUCAGUUAGGGGUGAAAUCCUGGAGCUCAACUCCAGAACUGCCUUUGAUACUGUCGAUCUCGAGUCCGGAAGAGGUGAGUGGAACUCCUAGUGUAGAGGUGGAAUUCGUAGAUAUUAGGAAGAACACCAGUGGCGAAGGCGGCUCACUGGUCCGGUACUGACGCUGAGGUGCGAAAGCGUGGGGAGCAAACAGGAUUAGAUACCCCAGUAGUCCCUGUCUCUUAUAC